GAAUAUUGGACAAUGGGCGAAAGCCUGAUCCAGCAAUGCCGCGUGAGUGAUGAAGGCCUUAGGGUUGUAAAGCUCUUUUACCAGGGAUGAUAAUGACAGUACCGGGAGAAUAAGCCCCGGCUAACUCCGUGCCAGCAGCCGCGGUAAUACGGAGGGGGCUAGCGUUGUUCGGAAUUACUGGGCGUAAAGCGCGCGUAGGCGGCUUUGUAAGUUAGAGGUGAAAGCCCAGGGCUCAACCCUGGAAUUGCCUUUAAGACUGCAUCGCUAGAAUCAUGGAGAGGUUAGUGGAAUUCCGAGUGUAGAGGUGAAAUUCGUAGAUAUUCGGAAGAACACCAGUGGCGAAGGCGACUAACUGGACAUGUAUUGACGCUGAGGUGCGAAAGCGUGGGGAGCAAACAGGA
rnacentral:rRNA from 1 species